rnacentral:lncRNA from 1 species
GAAAAUAUGAAGGUGAAAAUAAUUAGGCAUUAAUUUUGGAACGGAAAGAAAAUAUUUUUAUGAAAUACUUAGUUUCAUCAUAAUCCUAGGUAUUAGAAAUUUAGUUAGCCAUGGAAUUAAAAACAAAAACAAAUAAUAUUAGUACUACUAUUCGCAUGAAAUAAGAACAAUAAUUAAAAAGAGAAUUUCUAUUAUAUAAAUAAAAGAAAGUGACAAAUACUCCCUGACAGUAGUACCACAACUGAUUGGAAUAAGAGAAAGGACAAACUCUAAAUAUCUUACUCCUUCCUACACUAGUGAAAAACUGAGAAAAAGAAAAUAAUAAGUGGUGCCUUUCUCUCUUUCACAAGAGGUCUAUUUAUAGGGAAAAAUAACCUUGAACCCUAAUUGAACUUGGACACUUUGAUUCCCUUUCCAUGUAGGAUUCAACUUCCUAGUAGCAAUCAACUUCUCACAAAGAUCUUCUAGAUGGACUUUUCUUUCUCUUGUUGGAUUUGACUUUUACACCAAUAUUGUUCCACCUCUUUCCUUUUCCUUGUAGAAUUCUUCUUGGAUAUUCCUUAUAUGAAUAAAAGCAUUAAAUAUCCCUUGAUCACCAAGAUUUUGACUUUAUUGCAACAAUUAUUAAAUCCUACAAAAUAAAAUAAAACAUAUUAAUUUAAUAAACUAAUAUAAUUAAAAGGACAAAAUUAGGGAUAACAAAAUGUAUGAAUUACGUGUUUAUCAAAUACCCCCAUACCUAACUUUUGCUCGUCCUCGAGUAAAAUAAAUAAAAAUAAAAAUAAAUUAAACAAAAAUUACACUACCCCAUUUUCGUAGGAAACACGAUUGCACUUAGCAUGUGCAACAAGCCUUUAAACCCCAAGGUUACCCCAAGUGGACGAGUUGUGUCUUGUGAGGGUUUGCAGUAAAUAUACCCACAAAAUUCAAAAAAUAUUUUUGGAUUCAACAAAUUAUGACAUUGAAAGAAAGCUUCUAAAUAUCUAUGGGCAUUAUACCUAAGCAAGAUUAAAUUCAAAAUCACACUUUCACCUUAUCAAAAAUACUCUAUCUUCAUUUUAGACACCAUCCUUCAUUAAAUCAAUUUCAUGUGAUGCAUGCAUGUGUAUGUGAUGUAACUCUUAGUAGGGAUUUUUACCAUGAAAAUCAAGCAAACUCAUUUUUCUUUGUUUUUUUUUUCUUUUUCCUUCCUUUUCUCCAAAUUUUUUUUUUUUAAUUCUUGACUUGUGCAAUGUCUCAUUUUCUUAGGCUUUUCAGAGUUACCCAUGUAGAGCGAGCGUUGGACCAAUGACUCCCAAACCAGAUGGCUUUAGGGCACUAGGUGUAGAGAUACCCCUAAGGAUUUACUAACUCGAGUAACAAAGGCCACAAAAUUUAGAUUAGUCAAGCUGCUUUUAUUCAUCAUACUUUUCAGCGUGAAUACCGAUGCUUCCCGAGGCUUGGAUACCCAGUUAUUUCGUUUAAUGGACAUUGAAGCAGUUAUUUAUUUCUUUUUCUUUUUUUUUAAACUUUUCUCAACUUCAUUUUUUUUCGUUCUUUCUUCUUUUUUUUCCUUUUUUUUCUUUUUUUUAAGAAAUUACUCGAAUCAUGAUUUAUACCCCACAACUAAGAAUUAGUGCAAACGUGAAAUGCCAAAAAUGCUUGUGAAAUCAAUUUUAAAUCCAGAUGGUGUUUUGAACUAAGAUUUCGUAUCUUAUCAAAAAUUCAAGAGUUCUAAAUCUUUCAAUCUCACUCAUGCGUUUUGCUCCACAAACACUUAUUAGAAUUAAUUCAAUUCAUAAUAAGUCAAACAAAAAUUUUAAUUUUUAAUUUUUUUUUUUUUGUUUCUCUUUUUUUUUAAAAAAAAUAAAAAAAAAUCUAAUACAAACAAAUUCUCCCCAUACCUAAAUCAUGCAUUGUCCUCAAUGUAUGCAAAUGAAGAAAAGAGAACAAAGAUGUGAAAAAAAUUAUACCUUGAAUGCGGGGCAUUUGUUUUGCAAGAAAAUGUGGUGAGAAAGAAAACAAAUGUACAUAUCUGCAAAUUUUAUGCAUCCUAAAAACUAUGCGACUGUAAAUGAUCAGUGAUACAAACAAGCAACCUAAAGUGGAUUUCGUAUGAUUUUCAGGAGGUCUGGGUAAUUGGAAAUAGUUAGAAUGUGCAACAGAAGAACAAUUGUGUGCAUACCCGACUGAUUCUUUUAAAAUUGAGUCAAGGAAGGAUAACGAAGAAUGAUAGUUCCUUUUAAAAAAUUCUAACUUCAUAAAAGCUAUCCAAACUUGCCAUCCAUAUUCGUUACCAAGGGGCACUAAAACAUUUUCAUCAUUUUGAAUAACUGUUAGACCAAGAUGUUUAGGCACCACUGGAUUAACACAUGCAUUAUCUAAAAUGGGAGAUAUGAUCUCAUUAUCUAAACAUGGAAGAUUGUCAUUGUCCACAACCUUUGGUUCAUUUGUUAAAUCACAUUUAGUGUUUCUGGAAGACGCGUCGGAUGGACCCAAGGUAGACUUAAAAUGAUCAUAAGAGGAUUUAAGGUCAAUUUGAUUCUCUUGAAAAUGCUCAAAAUGUGUCAAACUUGAUUCAAUUAUAGGUUCCAAUCUAGAGUAAGAUUUUUGGGCUGUGGAGUCCAACAUCUCAUUGACCUCAUUUAAGUAUUCAGUUUCAUCCCAAUUUUGACCAAAAUGAUUUAGACAAAAGUUAAUAAUUUCAUCUUCCCCCGUAAGUUCAUUUCCCGACAUUUUCUGAAUCAUGUUCACUUCAACAGACUGGUCAAACAAAUCACUAGUUUGCUCUCCCACAUUAAACACAUUUAAGUCAAUUGUCAUGUUUCCAAAUGUCAAUUUCAUUAGUCCAUUUCUACAAUUGAUUAACGCAUUAGAAGUUGCUAGAAAUGGUCUACCUAAAAUUACAGGAAUUUGACCAUUGGGAUUGACAACAGGCUGGGUUUCAAGGACAACAAAGUCAACAGGGAAGACAAAAUCACCAAUCUUAAUGAGUACAUCCUCAACUAUUCCUUUUGGCACUUUAAUAGAAUGGUCAACUAGUUGGAGCGUGACAGUUGUCUUUUUCAACUCCCCUAAGCCUAAGGUUUGGUACACAGUAAAUGGUAACAGGUUCACACUAGCUCCUAAAUCAAGCAAAGCUUUUUCAAUUAAUGUGUCACCUAUGAUGCAUGAAAUAGUAGGACAACCGGGGUCCUUAUACUUCACAGGGACUUGACAUGACAAGAUAGAACUCACAUGGGCUGUUAGAAAAGCUUUCUUAGGAACAUGAGUGGUUCUUUUAUGUGUGCACAAAUCUUUUAGACAUUUAGCAUAUGAGGGAACUUGUUGAAUGGCAUCUAGAAGAGGAAUGUUAAUUUUCACUUGUUUGAACACUUCUAGAAUUUUGUCCAACUGGGCUGACUGCUUGUUUGAAAUAAGUCUUUGAGGGAAUGGGGCUUUUGGUUUGAAGACUUUUUCAGUUGACUCAUAAGGUGUGGUUGAAUCAUGUUUUGAAACAUGAUUAGUGGAUGGGCCUACUGACUCAGAGUUUGUGGGAUUUUCAGGCUGGGUUGACUUUGAAGAUGGAUCGUUAGAUUCAACAUUUAAUUUUUUCUCUUCUUCAUUAUCAAUUCCAGCAUGAUUGUUAAAAUAAUUUCCAGACCCUAAAGAAAUUACAGAAUUCACAUGAUUGACUUGGUUGUUUUCAAGUGAAUUAACAUGAUAAGGUUUUUGAGUAGGGACUGAAAAUUUUGGAUUGGUCUCGGGUUGACUAGGAAGUUUACCCUUCUCUCUUUCACUAACUGCAGUGGCCAAUUGACUCAUUUGGAUCUCUAAGCGAGAAAUGGCUUGGUUAGUGCUUUGCUGAGAUUUUAUUAAAGUUUCCACACUCUUCUCUAAGGUGCUCACACUCUUCUCUAAGGUGUUAAGUCUCCUCUCACUUUCAUUAAAAAAACCUGGUGGAUAUUGAGGUGCUGGAUUUGAAUUUUGGUACGGACCAGGAUUUGACUUUUGGUAAGGUUGAAAAGAUUGAUUUAGAGACUGAUUGACCUGAUUUGAAGAAUUAUUUGGGUAGGGUCCUUGGUUCCAUGCAAAAUUAGGAUGAUUCCUCCAACCAGGAUUAUAAGUGGGUGCAAAUGGGUCAUUCCUAGGUCGUUGAAACAUUGCAUUGACUUGUUCAUAUUCUUCAAAUUGGGGCACGACUCUAGGACAUUCCUCAAUCACAUGGCUUGGUGAAUUACACUUUAGACACAAAGGUGUAGGUGUUGAGACUUGGUUCACGUGUGAUCCCCUAGUUUCUAAAUCUUCAAGUCUUUUAAGUACACCAGCCAACUUAACUUCUGUAGCAAUUGAAUUGUCAAUUGUAUGAACACCCCUAGAUGAACUAGGUUUAUCUGUCUCUCGGGUGGUUUCCCAUUGCAUGGUUUUUUCUGCUAAGUCUUCUAAAAACUCCCAAGCCUUCUCCUCAUCAUUAUUCAGAAAAUCCCCUUGACACAUUGACUCUAACAUUGUUUUAGUGGGAUAGUCUAAACCUUCAUAGGCAAUUUGACACAAUCUCCAUUUCUCAAUUCCAUGGUGUGGGCACUGGGAUAACAAAUUUUUAAAUCUAUCAAAAUAUUUCCAAAAGGACUCUUUUUCAAGUUGGCAAAAUUGAUGAAUUGCAGUCCUAAUUUUAGCAGUUUUAUGAUUUGGAAAAUAUUUUUUUAGAAAUGUAACGACAAAUCCCUCCCAGGUUGAUAUGGAAUUAUUUGGUAGGCUAUAUAACCACUUUUUAGCAUUAUCUUUUAAAGCAAAUGUUAUAAAUCUUAGCCUAAUUGAGUCAUCAGACAAUUGUUGAAUUUUCAUUAAGGCACAAACUUCCUCAAAUUCCUGAAUAAAUAAAUAUGCAUCUUCUAUCCCCGUAAACCUAGGUAACAUAUUUAUAAAAUGUGGCUUAAGUUCAAAAUUGUUACCAGUUACCGGUGGUAGACUAAUACAUGAAGGUUGGGCAGAGCGGGAAGGAUAACAUCGAUCCCUUAAAGAAACAGUUUGGGCGCCCUCCAUUUUUGUUAAAGUGAGAUCUUUUAAAGUGAAAUCCGAAAAAUCAAGUUUUCUCACUAAUCGGGAUGUUUCGUCCCUAAUCCACACUUUUUGCAUACACUAAUUAACAAAUAAUCAGAUAAGCACAAAAAAAAUAAAAAAUAAAAAAAAAAAUACUUCUAAGGUUAACCUAAAUAAAAUCUAGACAGCUCCUAACUGUUCCAAGUUACACCGCAAGGUCCACCAAAUUCGAAAUUAAUCAUACCACUAGCCAGGUAAGUGUAAGAAAGGUGGGAGUCUCUCCGUAGAUACGGUGACUAAUUAAAUAACCACACAAUCUUUAGGCGUAUACCUUUUGAACCACUUGCCUAGACACCAGUAGUUUGAUUAAUUUAAAAUUCAGACUCCUCUUGGAGUUUCUUGUCCUAAUUGAGCUCGAGAGUCCUAGGGGCCAACGUCUACUUGAUUUUAUUAGGUCAUGGUCAUGCAAAAUGCAAAUUGGGUUGUUUGUGGGCCAAGGAAGGGUGAUGAAAUCUCCACCUUAUCUUGUUACAGGUUGUGCCCUUAAUGUUAGAUUAAAGAUAAAAAUGCACAAAUAAAAGAAACUAUAAACAAAUAAAAUGUCCUAAAACUAUGUGAAUUACGAAAGAAGGAGAAAUUUUAACGUACCUCAAUCCUCCAGCAAUCACCACAGUUUAUAUUUGACAAAAAAAAAAAUAGUAAAAAAAAUAAAACCUAACAGGAUGUGCUCUACGUGAGUGAAUGCAUGAAUGCGACAAAAAAAAAAUAUAUAAAUAAAAAAAAACUAAACUACUAUUUUUUUUAUUUUUAUUUUUUUAAAAAAAAAUAUGGAGAUACGAAGUACCGAAGAAAGCACAGCAACAAAAUCUUUAUCUUUUCGCUUCUUCGAUUCCGCUUCAAUAAUCCUGAAAAAAAAAUGAGUUAAAACUAAUUCGAAUAAAUAAAAAUUAAGGGAUAAAUAAAAAUUAAGUCUAGUCCCCGACAACGGCGCCAAAAAUUUGAUGUGUUAAAAAUAUGUAACUGCAAGUGCACAGUGUCGAAUUGAAGAACUGGCAAAUACAGGUCGAACCCACAGAGACUAGAUUAAUUCUUUAAUAUAUCCUUAAUUAAUAUUUUAGGCAAAUUAGAAAUAAAAAUGAUGGAGAAGAUUUUUUAACUAAAUUAUGUAAACUAUUAAUUAAUAAUGAAAACUAUUAAUGAGAAAAGAUACCUAGGAAUUAGAAUCCACCAAACAUUAACAUAAUAAAUAAUUUCUUAUUUCCUAAAUCAAUUCCCAAAUUAUUUUCCCUUCCCUUUAAAAAUAAUGAUUCAUAUAAUUAAUAUGGGCAAGCAUAAGUUAUGAAAAAUUCACAGAUUAACUAUAACUUAUCAAAACCUCGCAAUCAAUAUAAAAAUCAUAUGCAAUUUAUGCGGAGGAAAAUAUGAAGGUGAAAAUAAUUAGGCAUUAAUUUAGGAACGGAAAGAAAAUAUUUUUAUGAAAUACUUAGUUUCAUCACAAUCCUAGGUAUUAGAAAUUUAGUUAGCCAUGGAAUUAAAAACAAAAACAAAUAAUAUUAGUACUACUAUUCGCAUGAAAUAAGAACAAUAAUUAAAAAGAGAAUUUCUAUUAUAUAAAUAAAAGAAAGUGACAAAUACUCCCUGACAGUAGUACCACAACUGAUUGGAAUAAGAGAAAGGACAAACUCUAAAUAUCUUACUCCUUCCUACACUAGUGAAAAACUGAGAAAAAGAAAAUAAUAAGUGGUGCCUUUCUCUCUUUCACAAGAGGUCUAUUUAUAGGGAAAAAUAACCUUGAACCCUAAUUGAACUUGGACACUUUGAUUCCCUUUCCAUGUAGGAUUCAACUUCCUAGUAGCAAUCAACUUCUCACAAAGAUCUUCUAGAUGGACUUUUCUUUCUCUUGUUGGAUUUGACUUUUACACCAAUAUUGUUCCACCUCUUUCCUUUUCCUUGUAGAAUUCUUCUUGGAUAUUCUUUAUAUGAAUAAAAGCAUUAAAUAUCCCUUGAUCACUAAGAUUUUGACUUUAUUGCAACAAUUAUUAAAUCCUACAAAAUAAAAUAAAACAUAUUAAUUUAAUAAACUAAUAUAAUUAAAAGGACAAAAUUAGGGAUAACAAAAUGUAUGAAUUACGUGUUUAUCAACACUCAAGACAUUUUCUAUACCAUAUCUAGUUUCUAAAAGCAGUUUAAAU